GACACAGGACCACAGACCAUGACAAAAACAGCUAAACAUGAGAGGUUUUUGGACAAAGUUUGUGUUUUCCAUUGUUUAAGCACCAGUUCCAACCAAAGAAGGUAUGUUGUAUCAACAGAAAUGUCUAACAACUUAUCAUUUUGCAGAAAAAAAGACACUGCUAAAAAUAAAAACACAAGAGGUUUUUGGACAAAGUUUGUGUUCUCCAUUCUUUAAGUAAGCACCAGUUUGAGCACCGUUUAAGCACCGGCACCAUUUCAAAAGUACCAGUUUGGCACCGGUAUCGGAUAAAACCUAAACGAUACCCAUCCCUAGCUACUACAUACGACCACUACACAUCACCAGAGUUGAAUCUUAUACACAUCGAUGGCCGUUCAGAGUUUAGUGUCAGUGAGGAGAGCUGUAGCAGCAAAGCCAAGAAGAAGCUUUUUAUGAAGCCACUCUUGCUCCUCUGCUCCCCAAAUAUCAGACAUGCUCAGCUUUAUGUACAGUUACAAUAUUAAAUCAUAAUAUCAUAUACUUACUUAUAGCAAAAAGUAAAUGGAGGUAUAUUCAUAUUUGAGUUCUGUGCUUUAUAGUCAGGUAUUUCUUAUAUUCAUUCUUAAAAAUUUUGUUAAAGACUUUUUCAAGAGCAGUGAGAACAAAGUUUGAAAUAUGUGAUCUUUAGUAGCUGAUAGCACGAAUCACAUUAGGACGUACUGGUGUGGGCAACAACAGUUAUUUACUUUAUUUGUCUAAAUUGAUACAAAUGAUAUGAUCGAUACUGUAUGAAUUUAAAUGCAAUAAAUAUGUUUCAUGUA